rnacentral:lncRNA from 1 species
CUUCCCCGUCUGCCGUUUUGUACUCUUGGCCUAACGUUGACUCAAAACAGCAACUUGGAGCCUUCCCUGACCUGUUGGAAGAAGAGCCCAAGGACCGUAGCAAGGCCCUGAUUCUGGGAGACGAGAGAACACGCUGACUUAGAAUGCUUGUCUCUGCAUCCUGGUCAGAAAGUAGAUGGACGACACUUUCAUCUCCGACUGGAUUUUGGUGAGAGAUGGGCAAACCCCGGGCUCUAGGCUGGAGCAGCAGCUCUUGUAUCCACACAAAAUCAGGACUGGUGGAGGGAGCCAUCUUCAAACAUAAAUUUGGUGAGUUUAACAAUCAGAGAUUUGAAAAACACAGAAAUGAACAUUUCUGAUCAAUGACACUGCUGAUCUGAUGCAUCAUAACAGAAACCAGUCAUCAAGGUACAACAAAC